UGGAGGACCGAACCGACUAAUGUUGAAAAAUUAGCGGAUGACCUGUGGCUGGGGGUGAAAGGCCAAUCAAACCGGGAGAUAGCUGGUUCUCCCCGAAAGCUAUUUAGGUAGCGCCUCGUGAAUUCAUCUCCGGGGGUAGAGCACUGUUUCGGCUAGGGGGCCAUCCCGGCUUACCAACCCGAUGCAAACUGCGAAUACCGGAGAAUGUUAUCACGGGAGACACACGGCGGGUGCUAACGUCCGUCGUGAAGAGGGAAACAACCCAGACCGCCAGCUAAGGUCCCAAAGUCAUGGUUAAGUGGGAAACGAUGUGGGAAGGCCCAGACAGCCAGGAUGUUGGCUUAGAAGCAGCCAUCAUUUAAAGAAAGCGUAAUAGCUCACUGGUCGAGUCGGCCUGCGCGGAAGAUGUAACGGGGCUAAACCAUGCACCGAAGCUGCGGCAGCGACACUGUGUGUUGUUGGGUAGGGGAGCGUUCUGUAAGCCUGUGAAGGUGUGUCGUGAGGCAUGCUGGAGGUAUCAGAAGUGCGAAUGCUGACAUAAGUAACGAUAAAGCGGGUGAAAAGCCCGCUCGCCGGAAGACCAAGGGUUCCUGUCCAACGUUAAUCGGGGCAGGGUGAGUCGACCCCUAAGGCGAGGCCGAAAGGCGUAGUCGAUGGGAAACGGGUUAAUAUUCCCGUACUUGGUGUUACUGCGAAGGGGGGACGGAGAAGGCUAUGUUGGCCGGGCGACGGUUGUCCCGGUUUAAGCGUGUAGGUGUGUGUUCCAGGUAAAUCCGGUUCACUUUAACACUGAGGCGUGACGACGAGGCACUACGGUGCUGAAGCAACAAAUGCCCUGCUUCCAGGAAAAGCCUCUAAGCAUCAGGUAACAUCAAAUCGUACCCCAAACCGACACAGGUGGUCAGGUAGAGAAUACCAAGGCGCUUGAGAGAACUCGGGUGAAGGAACUAGGCAAAAUGGUGCCGUAACUUCGGGAGAAGGCACGCUGACACGUAGGUGAAGUGAUUUACUCAUGGAGCUGAAGUCAGUCGAAGAUACCAGCUGGCUGCAACUGUUUAUUAAAAACACAGCACUGUGCAAACACGAAAGUGGACGUAUACGGUGUGACGCCUGCCCGGUGCCGGAAGGUUAAUUGAUGGGGUCAGCGCAAGCGAAGCUCCUGAUCGAAGCCCCGGUAAACGGCGGCCGUAACUAUAACGGUCCUAAGGUAGCGAAAUUCCUUGUCGGGUAAGUUCCGACCUGCACGAAUGGCGUAAUGAUGGCCAGGCUGUCUCCACCCGAGACUCAGUGAAAUUGAACUCGCUGUGAAGAUGCAGUGUACCCGCGGCAAGACGGAAAGACCCCGUGAACCUUUACUAUAGCUUGACACUGAACAUUGAGCCUUGAUGUGUAGGAUAGGUGGGAGGCUUUGAAGUGUGGACGCCAGUCUGCAUGGAGCCGACCUUGAAAUACCACCCUUUAAUGUUUGAUGUUCUAACGUGGACCCGUUACCCGGGUUGCGGACAGUGUCUGGUGGGUAGUUUGACUGGGGCGGUCUCCUCCUAAAGAGUAACGGAGGAGCACGAAGGUUGGCUAAUCCUGGUCGGACAUCAGGAGGUUAGUGCAAUGGCAUAAGCCAGCUUGACUGCGAGCGUGACGGCGCGAGCAGGUGCGAAAGCAGGUCAUAGUGAUCCGGUGGUUCUGAAUGGAAGGGCCAUCGCUCAACGGAUAAAAGGUACUCCGGGGAUAACAGGCUGAUACCGCCCAAGAGUUCAUAUCGACGGCGGUGUUUGGCACCUCGAUGUCGGCUCAUCACAUCCUGGGGCUGAAGUAGGUCCCAAGGGUAUGGCUGUUCGCCAUUUAAAGUGGUACGCGAGCUGGGUUUAGAACGUCGUGAGACAGUUCGGUCCCUAUCUGCCGUGGGCGCUGGAGAACUGAGGGGGGCUGCUCCUAGUACGAGAGGACCGGAGUGGACGCAUCACUGGUGUUCGGGUUGUCAUGCCAAUGGCACUGCCCGGUAGCUAAAUGCGGAAGAGAUAAGUGCUGAAAGCAUCUAAGCACGAAACUUGCCCCGAGAUGAGUUCUCCCUGAGACUUAAAGUCUCCUGAAGGAACGUUGAAGACGACGACGUUGAUAGGCCG
rnacentral:rRNA from 1 species